rnacentral:rRNA from 1 species
CGGCAAUAGCUCAAAUUUGAAAUCUGGCCUUUGGCCCGAGUUGUAAUUUGUAGAGGAUGCUUCGAGUAUGGUCCGGUCUAAGUUCCUUGGAACAGGACGUCAUAGAGGGUGAGAAUCCCGUAUGUGACUGGGUGCUUAAGCUCAUGUGAAGCUCCUUCGAC